GUUUGAUCCUGGCUCAGAAUCAACGCUGGCGGCGUGCCUAAUACAUGCAAGUCGAACGCGAAAGUCCCGCAAGGGAUGAGUAGAGUGGCAAACGGGUGAGUAACGCGUGGGUGACCUGCCUUCAAGUGGGGGAUAACGUUUCGAAAGGGACGCUAAUACCGCAUGACAUCCGACCUUUUAAGAGGUGGAGAUCAAAGCUGGGGAUCGCAAGACCUGGCGCUUGAAGAGGGGCCCGCGUCCGAUUAGCUAGUUGGUGGGGUAACGGCUCACCAAGGCAACGAUCGGUAGCCGGCCUGAGAGGGCGGACGGCCACACUGGGACUGAGACACGGCCCAGACUCCUACGGGAGGCAGCAGUAGGGAAUUGUUCGCAAUGGGCGCAAGCCUGACGACGCAACGCCGCGUGGAGGAUGAAGAUCUUCGGGUCGUAAA
rnacentral:rRNA from 1 species